rnacentral:rRNA from 1 species
AACGAACGCUGGUGGCGUGCUUAACACAUGCAAGUCGAGCGAGAAAGUUUCCUUCGGGGAACGUAGUAAAGUAGGCGCAAGGGUGAGUAACACGUGAAUAAUCUGCCCUCGAGAUCGGGAGUAACUUGGCGAAAGCUAAGCUAAUACCGGAUAAGACCACAUUUCACAAGAAAUGCGGUAAAAGGAGUCUCAAUCUUCACUCGAGGAUGAGUUCGCGGACCAUUAGCUUGUUGGUGAGAUAAAAGCUCACCAAGGCUACUAUGGUUAGCCGGCCUGAGAGGGUGAACGGCCACACUGGAACUGAGACACGGUCCAGACUCCUACGGGAGGCAGCAGUGGGGAAUAUUGCGCAAUGGGCGAAAGCCUGACGCAGCAACGCCGUGUGAGCGGAUG